UACGUAGGGGGGCUAGCGUUGUCCGGAUUUAUUGGGCGUAAAGAGCUCGUAGGCGGCUUGUCGCGUCGGCUGUGAAAACCCGCGGCUCAACUGUGGGCGGGCAGCUGAUACGGGCAGGCUGGAGUUCGGUAGGGGAGACUGGAAUUCCUGGUGUAGCGGUGAAAUGCGCAGAUAUCAGGAGGAACACCGGUGGCGAAGGCGGCCAGCUAGACCAGUUCUGACACUGAGGCGCGACAGCGUGGGGAGCAAACAGG
rnacentral:rRNA from 1 species